AUGUCAACAACUGAAAGCAGAAGGCUGUCCGAUGACUAUGAAGUUGCGGAUGUCCUUGGCCGAGGCGGUUUUUCCAUAGUCAGAAGAGGUGUGAGCAAGUCUGAUGAUGGAAAGACCCAGGUCGCAAUAAAGACUCUCCGAAGGCUCGGCCCUGCGAUGAUGGGGAUGCAGCAGGGGUCAAAGGGCGCGCCGAGCUCGGGCGGCCUCCCGCUGUGGAAGCAGGUAUCCAUCUCCGACGCGCUGCUCACCAACGAGAUUCUUGUCAUGAGGAGGAUAGUGGAGAACGUCGCGCCGCACCCGAACGUCAUCAGCCUGCACGAUGUGUACGAGGAUGCGCACGGCGUACACCUCGUCCUCGAGCUGUGCUCGGGUGGCGAGCUGUUUGACAGGAUCAUAGGGCGCGAGCGGUACUCGGAGUUUGAUGCGGCCGCUGUUGUUAGGCAGAUUGCUGGUGGGUUGAAGGCUCUUCACAAGGCCAACAUCAUACACAGGGACUUGAAGCCAGAGAACUGCCUCUUCUCGGACAGAAAAGAAGAUUCCACGCUGAAGAUUAUGGAUUUCGGUUUGAGUUCUGUAGAAGAUUUCAGUGACCCGGUUGUGGCGCUGUUUGGGUCGGUAGAUUAUGUUUCACCAGAGGCACUCUCGCGGCAAGAGGUUUCGACUGCAAGUGAUAUGUGGUCUGUUGGGGUGAUUCUGUAUAUUCUUUUGUCCGGGUGCCCACCAUUUCAUGCUGCAACCAAUCAAGAAAAGCAGCAAAGGAUCCUGCAAGGUGAAUUCAGUUUUCAGGAGCAUACAUGGAAAACAAUAACUUCAUCAGCCAAAGAUUUGAUUUCCAGUCUGCUUUCCGUUGAACCUUACAGAAGGCCCACUGCGAGUGAUCUUUUGAUGCAUCCUUGGGUGAUAGGAGACUGCGCCAAGCAAGAUCGCAUCGACGCAGAGGUUGUCUCGAAACUGCAGAGGUUCAAUGCUAGAAGGAAAUUGCGGGCAGCAGCAAUAGCCAGCGUCCUGAGCAGCAAAGUGGCAUUGAGGACAAAAAGGCUGAGGAGUCUUUUAGGAACCCAUGACCUUACCUCGGAAGAGCUAGAUAACCUGAGGCAACAUUUUGCACGGAUAUGCGCAGAUGGAGAGAACGCCACACUAACAGAAUUCGAGCAGGUGCUGAAAGCAAUGAAGAUGGACUCGCUGAUCCCUCUAGCUCCUCGUGUAUUUGAUUUGUUCGACAACAACCGUGACGGAACCGUGGACAUGAGGGAGAUCCUUUGCGGGCUCUCCAGCCUGAGGAACUCGCGGGGCGACGACGCUCUGCGGCUCUGCUUCCAGAUGUACGAUGCCGAUCGGUCGGGCUGCAUCAGCAAGGAAGAGCUGGCUUCGAUGCUCCGGGCGCUGCCUGAGGAGUGCCUCCCGGGGGACAUCGCGGAGCCGGGGAAGCUGGACGAGAUGUUCGACACGAUGGACGCCAACGGCGACGGCGAGGUCACCUUCGACGAGUUCAAGGCGGCGAUGCAGAAGGACAGCGCCCUGCAGGACGUCGUCCUCUCAUCCCUGCGACCCGGGCAGCAGUAG
rnacentral:rRNA from 1 species